rnacentral:tRNA from 2 species
GGAUCAUUAGCUCAGCCAGUUAGAGCAAACGGCUCAUAACCGUUCGGUGCAUUUCAUUCAAGUCCUGUAUGGUCCA